UCACUCUACCCGAAAGAGAAGGAUCGCCA
rnacentral:piRNA from 1 species